rfam:Oryza glaberrima chromosome 1 Oglab01_0177_3, whole genome shotgun sequence.
AAAAAGACAAACCCUGGGUUUUCGUGUCCAAUGUUUGACUCUCCGUCUUAUAUGAAAUUUUUUUUAUAAUUAGUAUUUUCAUUGUUGUUAGAUAAUAAAACAUAAUUAAUACUUGACUUGUCUUUUUAAUUUUUUUAUAAUUUUUUAAAAUAAGACGGACGGUCAAACGUUGGACACAAAAAUCCAGGGGUUGUCUUUUU